CACCAUGGGAGUGGGUUGCUCCAGAAGUAGCUAGUCUAACCGCAAGGGGGACGGUUACCACGGAGUGAUUCAUGACUGGGGUGAAGUCGUAACAAGGUAGCCGUAGGGGAACCUGCGGCUGGAUCACUCCUUAA
rnacentral:rRNA from 1 species